CUGUCGUACUUACAAUAACGACUCUCGGCAACGGAUAUCUCGGCUCUCGCAUCGAUGAAGAACGUAGCGAAAUGCGAUACUUGGUGUGAAUUGCAGAAUCCCGUGAACCAUCGAGUCUUUGAACGCAAGUUGCGCCCCAAGCCGUCAGGCCGAGGGCACGCCUGCCUG
rnacentral:rRNA from 2 species